GACGAACGCUGGCGGCGUGCUUAACACAUGCAAGUCGAACGGAAAGGCCUGCUUUCCCUUGUGGAUUGCGGGUACUCGAGUGGCGAACGGGUGAGUAACACGUGAGUGAUCUGCCCCCAACUUGGUUAUAAGCCUGGGAAACUGGGUCUAAUUCCCGAUAGGACUGCAGGGUGGUGCCUGUGGUGGAAAACGAGUUUCUAGUGGUUGGGGAUGAGCUCGCGGCCUAUCAGCUUGUUGGUGGGGUAAUGGCCUACCAAGGCGGCGACGGGUAGCCGGCCUGAGAGGGUGGACGGCCACAUUGGGACUGAGAUACGGCCCAGACUCCUACGGGCGGCAGCAGUGGGGAAUAUUGCAGCAUGAGCGGAAGCGUGAUGCAGCGACGCAGCGUGGGGGAUGACGGCAUUCGGGUUGUAAACUCCUUUCGACCGCGAGGAAGCCACCUGGUUGGAAGGGUGGUGACGGUAGUGGUAGAAGAAGCACCGGCUAACUACGUG
rnacentral:rRNA from 1 species